rnacentral:lncRNA from 1 species
CUCAACCCUUCAUACUCUAUGAAACCUCCCAAGAUCAAAGGGAUUACCAUCAGUGACCUACCGAUGACGUAUAAAGUGAGACUACCAUGAGGGGAAUACCUCACCAAACACGACAGAUGGAUUCAGCGGAGCUGCAGCUACAUCUAGCCCGACAGGAGGAAUGGCUCGAUGAACUCUGCGACCUCUUCACCAGUCCAUUCCUUCUUCACCCAUAUCAGGUGCCACAGCCUCCUCUCGUUUAUCCUCCUCUAUAUCCAUGCCUAAUAAAUAUGAUGCUCCCCAGGGAAAUGUCAAGGAUUUUUCAUGCAGUGUAACCUGUACAUAGACCAUCACCCCGCU